rnacentral:lncRNA from 1 species
AAAUUUCUUCCUCUAAAGCAGCCUUAAGGCAGAGAUCUUACUAUAUUAAAUGUGUAUACAGAAACAACUCUGCAAAAAUGUACCUCACAAGGGCGAUAAAUAAUGAUUCUGGUUGUUAUAAAGAAUAACUGUAUUCGAUACGUUUUUGAUAUGGGUCAAAUGCUCCCAAAGCAUACAAAGUGGGCACGGAGAGACUGGCAUUAAAGUUUUGGCAUUUCGUCAGGACUACAAUGCUAUUCAAAAUGCUAUUCCCCAGCUUUCAUGAAGGUGUUUCUUUUCAAUAAAUCUGAAGCACCAUAACCAUGACACAAAUUUGAAUGUAAACAAAGAAUGCUGAUCCCGUAACUAAAUGCAGCAGUGCCUUUACUUCAGAACAGGCAAACACUGCCAGCAAAAACAACAAACAAAAUUUCUGUUGAAACAGAAACAGCAGAGCGUGAAAUAGCAGCCUGCCAUCAGACAUUGGGAGUUUGAUUUUCAUCAAUGGCAGCUGAAACAGCCCUCUCCACCCACUUCUGCAUGAAAAAAGAAAAGAAAAGAAAACUGAUAAUACCAUCUGCAUGCAAGCAGGAGGACAAACCUUGUGGGUCUAUUUGCUGCACUCCAGCAUGAACCUAGAGCAGCCACAAACUCCUCUUUAGGCUCUAUUUCAUUCCGUGAACCUAACUGAUACUCCCAGUUAUUGUACAUUUGGAGGAAUACACAGUGAUUUUAUUUUUUAAAGAUUCUGGCGGUGUCACGACAUCUAUUGGAAAACUUUUCAAGCAGAGGGCUUCUGAUUGAUUUGCUUGGGGUCAUGUGGAGGUAAAAGAAAAAGUUUAAAAAAAUAAGCACUUACAAGUGGCAAAUGGCAAAUCCAACCAGCAAAGGUGAGUGCAUUUCAAAAGCUUCCUCUGUGAUGACUACACAGAAACGUGCUAUGGGCAUGUACUAUGUGCGCCAAAAUAACUGCCGAUGGUUGCGAUAUGGCUAUUUCCAAUUCAUGUGUUACAAUGCUAAACACGCUCCUGAAACACUACCUUCUGCGAGAGAGGAAACUUUCACACAGAGACGAAAUGAACAGGACAAAUAUACACUGUGGUAGUACUAAAAGGAAAUUUAGACCGAAUAAAGCAGAUUGAUAACACGGGUGGAAAACAUCCUCGGCUAGACUAGAUUAUUAAUGAUACCAGAGAAGCAACAAUGUGCUUUAUAAUUCUUAUAUGUAUUUGUACAUCAUGAACGGCAUAUUGAUCAUAAGGAAACAAAGCAAAUGGAUUAACUCACCACUGAAUAGUAUCUAUGGCAAGGCCACAUGCACAUUACAUGUCAAAAGACAACCAACCUCCACAACAACAAUCUCAGCCACAUCCUGCAGACCUAGUCACUGCUGUUAGAAAUGUUUGGUGCAAUUUAACCCGUAUGCAACUAAUAAUUAUUAUGAUGAUAAUCAUUUAAAUAGUUUAGAUUACUGCAUAGCAAAUAGUCACUACCCUCUUACUGCCACUAUUGGCAGAAUAUACUUUCCCAUUUCAUUGAUGUUUAGUGUGGUGAGAUGUCUUGCUUUGGCCACUGGGAUGUUGGUGGAUAUAACAUCAGUAAAUGCUUGAAAUGUGCCUGCCUUCUUGGAGUAUGCUACCACCAUGCAAAAGAACAUGUUCUGCCUACCCACCAAAUUAAGGAUGAAGGCAUGUGGAGCAGAUCUAGACCAAAUCUGCAGCGUGGAUCUAAGCCCAGCCUGGAUAAGCUGAGCCCCACUUGGCUCACAAAUGCAGGAGCAAGAAGAGUGAUUGUCGUUUUAAGCCACUGAGUUCCGAGGUGGUUUGUUAUGCAGCAUCACUGUGGCAAAUGCUAACUGAGAACAAUAUCAACAACACAUCAUCACAAAUAGAGCCCAUUUUUAAUUAAAUGGUAUAGGGUAAAAUUAAAAUACAGACAUUGCAGUAUUGCUGAUAGCAUAUAGUUAUAAGCCUUAGUAUUAUACAAUUGGACCUUCUUUUAGU